rnacentral:rRNA from 1 species
GUAGGUGGCAAGCGUUGUCCGGAAUUAUUGGGCGUAAGGCGCGCGCAGGCGGUCCUUUAAGUCUGAUGUGAAAGCCCACGGCUCAACCGUGGAGGGUCAUUGGAAACUGGGGGACUUGAGUACAGAAGAGGAAAGCGGAAUUCCAAGUGUAGCGGUGAAAUGCGUAGAGAUUUGGAGGAACACCAGUGGCGAAGGCGGCUUUCUGGUCUGUAACUGACGCUGAGGCGCGAAAGCGCGGGGAGCAAACAGGGAUUAGAUACCCUGGUAGUCCACGCCGUAAACGAUGAGUGCUAAGUGUUAGGGGGUUUCCCGCCCCUUAGUGCUGCAGCUAACGCAUUAAGCACUCCGCCUGGGGAGUACGGCCGCAAGGCUG